AGGAGAGUUUGAUCCUGGCUCAGGAUGAACGCUAGCUACAGGCUUAACACAUGCAAGUCGAGGGGCAGCAUGGAGGUUGCUUGCAACUUCUGAUGGCGACCGGCGCACGGGUGAGUAACGCGUAUCCAACCUUCCCCCUAGUAGGGCACAGCCCGGCGAAAGUCGGAUUAAUACCCUAUGUUCUUCAAUGAUGACAUCAGGAUUGAAGCAAAGAUUCAUCGCUAGUGGAUGGGGAUGCGUCUGAUUAGCUUGAUGGCGGGGUAACGGCCCACCAUGGCGACGAUCAGUAGGGGUUCUGAGAGGAAGGUCCCCCACAUUGGAACUGAGACACGGUCCAAACUCCUACGGGAGGCAGCAGUGAGGAAUAUUGGUCAAUGGAGGCAACUCUGAACCAGCCAAGUAGCGUGCAGGAGGACGGCCCUAUGGGUUGUAAACUGCUUUUAUGAGGGGAUAAACUGCGCCACGCGUGGUGUAUUGCAUGUACCUCAUGAAUAAGGACCGGCUAAUUCCGUGCCAGCAGCCGCGGUAAUACGGAAGGUCCGGGCGUUAUCCGGAUUUAUUGGGUUUAAAGGGAGCGCAGGCGGGCCCUUAAGCGUGACGUGAAAUGCAGCGGCUCAACCGUAUGAAGUGCGUCGCGAACUGGGGGUCUUGAGUGGGUGCGAGGUAUGCGGAAUUCGUGGUGUAGCGGUGAAAUGCUUAGAUAUCACGAGGAACCCCGAUUGCGAAGGCAGCGUACCAGUCCCUUACUGACGCUAAAGCUCGAAGGUGCGGGUAUCGAACAGGAUUAGAUACCCUGGUAGUCCCCU
rnacentral:rRNA from 1 species